CUCAACAUGGCGGCGCACAGGCGGACGCUUGAGCCGGCUGUCCCGGGCGCGGGAGCGCCUGAGUCAUCCCGACAGGAGAGUCCAGGCGGCCAAGGCAUACCGAACCUGCCUCAGAUACUUGGGCACCUGAUUAAAUGUUCCACGUGGUUCACGUGUGUGGGAAGAGAGGGAGAUGUGUACAUGUGAAAGUCGUUACCUCCUCCGGUCUCUGCACCUUCAAAAAGCUGUCGCAGCAAGUUCAACUUCAUCAGCAGGGAAAGCACGGACGCUCGUUUGGUCCAUGAAGCCGUGAUGAUCAUCGGGUACAGACUGAAGUGGGAGGCUGGGCAGAAGAGGGAAGCAGAGCAACCACCCCAAAAGUUUAGUUUUCAUUUCUGGGAAUUUGGAUCUCAUAGCAAUAAAGAUUACAGAAUGUUGUAUUUGCAAAA